rnacentral:rRNA from 1 species
UACGUAGGUGGCAAGCGUUGUCCGGAUUUACUGGGCGUAAAGAGCGCGCAGGCGGUCGGAUAAGUCGAAUGUGAAAGCCCCCGGCUCAACUGGGGAGGGUCACUCGAUACUGAUCGACUGGAAGGCAGGAGAGGGAAGCGGAAUUCCCGGUGUAGUGGUGAAAUGCGUAGAUAUCGGGAGGAACACCAGUGGCGAAGGCGGCUUCCUGGCCUGUUCUUGACGCUGAGGCGCGAAAGCUAGGGGAGCAAACGGG